GUCCAGAAGGUCCAGCAGGUCCGGUAGCACCCUGGUCUCCAGCUUGACCCUAAACAGAUAAUGAUUACAUUCAUACAUCAGGGUUUCUGCAGCAUUUUCCAAGUCAAAGGAAGACUUUUUAUUACCUGUCUUAAA